rnacentral:lncRNA from 1 species
UUGACUUUCCAAAGUUAAUCAUGUUGUUUAUUUAAAAAACCAACAAGAAAACGGACGGUAUAGUGGAAAAAUUAUCAGGGCAAGUGAUUUUACAUGUGCCGAUGUACAGGAGUACACUACCAAUUUUAAAGUUAUUUCCACCCCUCACUCUAAUAAAUGUGUCAAA